CCUACGGGUGGCAGCAGUGGGGAAUAUUGGACAAUGGGCGAAAGCCUGAUCCAGCCAUGCCGCGUGUGUGAAGAAGGCCUUCGGGUUGUAAAGCACUUUCAGUGGGGAAGAAAGCCUUGGGGCUAAUACCCUCGAGGAAGGACAUCACCCACAGAAGAAGCACCGGCUAACUCCGUGCCAGCAGCCGCGGUAAUACGGAGGGUGCGAGCGUUAAUCGGAAUUACUGGGCGUAAAGCGCGCGUAGGCGGUCUGAUAAGCCGGUUGUGAAAGCCCCGGGCUCAACCUGGGAACGGCAUCCGGAACUGUCAGGCUAGAGUGCAGGAGAGGAAGGUAGAAUUCCCGGUGUAGCGGUGAAAUGCGUAGAGAUCGGGAGGAAUACCCGUGGCGAAGGCGGCCUUCUGGACUGACACUGACGCUGAGGUGCGAAAGCGUGGGUAGCAAACAGGAUUAGAUACCCGGGUAGUC
rnacentral:rRNA from 1 species